rnacentral:rRNA from 1 species
UACGUAGGGUGCAAGCGUUGUCCGGAAUUAUUGGGCGUAAAGAGCUCGUAGGCGGUCUGUCGCGUCGGCUGUGAAAACUCGGGGCUCAACCCCGAGCCUGCAGUCGAUACGGGCAGACUAGAGUGCUGUAGGGGAGACUGGAAUUCCUGGUGUAGCGGUGAAAUGCGCAGAUAUCAGGAGGAACACCGGUGGCGAAGGCGGGUCUCUGGGCCAAAACUGACGCUGAGGAGCGAAAGCGUGGGGAGCGAACAGG